UAGGGAAUCUUCCGCAAUGGACGAAAGUCUGACGGAGCAACGCCGCGUGAGCGAUGAAGGUUUUCGGAUCGUAAAGCUCUGUUGUUAGGGAAGAACAAGUAUCGGAGUAACUGCCGGUACCUUGACGGUACCUAACCAGAAAGCCACGGCUAACUACGUGCCAGCAGCCGCGGUAAUACGUAGGUGGCAAGCGUUGUCCGGAUUUAUUGGGCGUAAAGCGCGCGCAGGGCGGGUCCUUUAAGUCUGAUGUGAAAUCUUGCGGCUCAACCGCAAGCGGUCAUUGGAAACUGGGGGACUUGAGUACAGAAGAGGAAAGUGGAAUUCCACGUGUAGCGGUGAAAUGCGUAGAGAUGUGGAGGAACACCAGUGGCGAAGGCGACUUUCUGGUCUGUAACUGACGCUGAGGCGCGAAAGCGUGGGGAGCAAACAGGAUUAGAUACCCUGGUAGUCCACGCCGUAAACGAUGAGUGCUAAGUGUUGGAGGGUUUCCGCCUUCAGUGCUGCAGCUAACGCAUUAA
rnacentral:rRNA from 1 species